GUGCCUGUGUCAGGCAGGCAGUGUACUGUUAGCUGGCUGCUGUGUCUGUCGGAAGCAGCCGCUACUACUUUGCCACCUGCUGCAGAGCAA
rnacentral:pre_miRNA from 1 species